rnacentral:rRNA from 1 species
UACGUAGGUGACAAGCGUUGUCCGGAUUUACUGGGCGUAAAGAGCGCGCAGGCGGUCGUUCAAGUCGCGUGUGAAAGCCCCCGGCUCAACUGGGGAGGGUCACGCGAUACUGAUCGACUCGAAGGCAGGAGAGGGAAGUGGAAUUCCCGGUGUAGUGGUGAAAUGCGUAGAUAUCGGGAGGAACACCAGUGGCGAAGGCGACUACCUGGCCCAUUCUUGACGCUGAGGCGCGAAAGCUAGGGGAGCGAACGGG